CCUACGGGAGGCAGCAGUAGGGAAUAUUGGACAAUGGGUGCGAGCCUGAUCCAGCCAUGCCGCGUGCAGGAAGAAGGCCUUCUGGGUUGUAAACUGCUUUUGCCGGGGGAUAAAAGACCCAUGCGUGGGGAAUUGAAGGUACCCGGUGAAUAAGCCACGGCUAACUACGUGCCAGCAGCCGCGGUAAUACGUAGGUGGCGAGCGUUGUCCGGAUUUAUUGGGUUUAAAGGGUGCGUAGGCGGCCCCGUAAGUCAGUGGUGAAAUACGGCAGCUCAACUGUCGAGGUGCCAUUGAUACUGCGGGGCUUGAGUACAGUCGAGGUAGGCGGAAUUGACGGUGUAGCGGUGAAAUGCUUAGAUAUCGUCAAGAACACCGAUAGCGAAGGCAGCUUGCUAGGCUGUAACUGACGCUGAGGCACGAAAGUGCGGGGAUCAAACAGGAUUAGGAUACCCUGGUAGUCCGCACAGUAAACGAUGGUCACUCGGUGUUGGCGGUACACGGCCAGCGCCUUAGCGAAAGCGUUAAGUGACCCACGUGGGAGUACGCCGCGAGGUAGAACGACAAGAGAGUAGACGGCGUGAGACGUCGCCGACGGACGACGACGAGGGAGGAGG
rnacentral:rRNA from 1 species